rnacentral:rRNA from 1 species
CGGCGGACGGGUGCGUAACGCGUAUGUAACCUACCUUUGACAGGGGGAUAACAUCGAGAAAUUGGUACUAAUACCCCAUAACAUCACCGGAGGCAUCUUCGGUGGUUGAAAACUCAGGUGGUCAGAGAUGGACAUGCGUUGUAUUAGCUAGUUGGUGAGGUAACGGCUCACCAAGGCGACGAUACAUAGGGGGACUGAGAGGUCAACCCCCCACAUUGGUACUGAGACACGGACCAAACUCCUACGGAAGGCAGCAG